rnacentral:rRNA from 1 species
CUACGUGCCAGCAGCCGCGGUAAUACGGAAGGUCCAGGCGUUAUCCGGAUUUAUUGGGUUUAAAGGGAGUGUAGGCGGUUUGUUAAGCGUGUUGUGAAAUUUAGGUGCUCAACAUUUAACUUGCAGCGCGAACUGUCAGACUUGAGUACACGCAACGUAUGCGGAAUUCAUGGUGUAGCGGUGAAAUGCUUAGAUAUCAUGAAGAACUCCGAUUGCGAAGGCAGCUGACGGGAGCGCAACUGACGCUUAAGCUCGAAGGUGCGGGUAUCGAACAGGAUUAGAUACCCUGGUAGUCCGCACAGUAAACGAUGGAUGCCCGCUGUUGGUACCUGGUAUCAGCGGCUAAGCGAAAGCAUUAAGCAUCCCACCUGGGGAGUACGCCGGCAACGGUGAAACUCAAAUGAAUUGACGGGGGCCCGCACAAGCGGUGGAGCAUGUGGUUUAAUUCGAUGCAACGCGAAGAACCUUACCUACUCUUGACAUCCAGA